UACGUAGGGUCCGAGCGUUGUCCGGAGUUACUGGGCGUAAAGCGUGCGCAGGCGGCUUUGCAAGACAGAUGUGAAAUCCCCGGGCUCAACCUGGGAACUGCAUUUGUGACUGCAUGGCUGGAGUGCGGCAGAGGGGGAUGGAAUUCCGCGUGUAGCAGUGAAAUGCGUAGAUAUGCGGAGGAACACCGAUGGCGAAGGCAAUCCCCUGGGCCUGCACUGACGCUCAUGCACGAAAGCGUGGGGAGCAAACAGG
rnacentral:rRNA from 1 species